rnacentral:rRNA from 1 species
AGUGAACGCUGGCGGUAGGCCUAACACAUGCAAGUCGAACGGCAGCACAGUAAGAGCUUGCUCUUACGGGUGGCGAGUGGCGGACGGGUGAGGAAUACAUCGGAAUCUACUUUUUCGUGGGGGAUAACGUAGGGAAACUUACGCUAAUACCGCAUACGACCUACGGGUGAAAGCAGGGGAUCUUCGGACCUUGCGCGAUUGAAUGAGCCGAUGUCGGAUUAGCUAGUUGGCGGGGUAAAGGCCCACCAAGGCGACGAUCCGUAGCUGGUCUGAGAGGAUGAACAGCCACACUGUAACUGAGACACGGUCCCGACUCCUACGGGAGGCAGCAGUGGGGAAUAUUGGACAAUGGGCGCAAGCCUGAUCCAGCCAUACCGCGUGGGUGAAGAAGGCCUUCGGGUUGUAAAGCCCUUUUGUUGGGAAAGAAAAGCAGCAGGUUAAUACCCCGCUGUUCUGACGGUACCCAAAGAAUAAGCACCGGCUAACUUCGUG